rnacentral:rRNA from 1 species
CCCUUAGAUGUUCUGGGCUGCACGCGCGCUACACUGAUGCGCUCAACGAGUUUUAACCUUGCCUGGAAAGGUUGGGUAAUCUUUUUAAAACGCAUCGUGAUGGGGAUAGAUUAUUGCAAUUAUUAAUCUUCAACGAGGAAUUCCUAGUAAGCGCGAGUCAUCAGCUUGCAUUGAUUACGUCCCUGCCCUUUGUACACACCGCCCGUCGCUCCUACCGAUUGAACGUUCCGAUGAAUACCAUGGAUUGAGAGUCUGAAUGGGUUCGCCUAUUUCUGCUUCUCGAGAAGUGGAGUAAAUCUUAGCGUUUAGAGGAAGGAGAAGUCGUAACA